rnacentral:rRNA from 1 species
AACGAACGCUGGCGGCAGGCCUAACACAUGCAAGUCGAGCGCACCCUUCGGGGCGAGCGGCGGACGGGUUAGUAACGCGUGGGAACGUACCCUUUUCUAUGGAAUAGCCUCGGGAAACUGAGAGUAAUACCAUAUAAGCCCUUCGGGGGAAAGAUUUAUCGGGAAAGGAUCGGCCCGCGUUAGAUUAGAUAGUUGGUGGGGUAAUGGCUACCAAGUCUACGAUCUAUAGCUGGUUUUAGAGGAUGAUCAGCAACACUGGGACUGAGACACGGCCCAGACUCCUACGGGAGGCAGCAGUGGGGAAUCUUAGACAAUGGGCGCAAGCCUGAUCUAGCCAUGCCGCGUGUGUGAUGAAGGUCUUAGGAUCGUAAAGCACUUUCGCCAGGGAUGAUAAUGACAGUACCUGGUAAAGAAACCCCGGCUAACUCCGUG